UACGUAGGGGGCAAGCGUUGUCCGGAUUUAUUGGGCGUAAAGAGCGUGUAGGCGGCUAGGUAGGUCCGUUGUGAAAACUCGAGGCUCAACCUCGAGACGCCGGUGGAAACCAUCUAGCUAGAGUCCGGAAGAGGAGAGUGGAAUUCCUGGUGUAGCGGUGAAAUGCGCAGAUAUCAGGAAGAACCCCCGUGGCGAAGGCGGCUCUCUGGGACGUGACUGACGCUGAGACACGAAAGCGUGGGGAGCAAACAGG
rnacentral:rRNA from 1 species